CCUACGGGUGGCUGCAGUGAGGAAUAUUGGUCAAUGGGCGGAAGCCUGAACCAGCCAAGCUGCGUGAGGGAAGAAGGUACAGCGUAUCGUAAACCUCUUUUGUAAGGGAACAAAGGCGGGGACUAGUCCCCGGAUGAGGGUACCUGAAGAAAAAGCAUCGGCUAACUCCGUGCCAGCAGCCGCGGUAAUACGGAGGAUGCGAGCGUUAUCCGGAUUUAUUGGGUUUAAAGGGUGAGCAGGCGGCCUGUUAAGUCAGCGGUAAAAGCCCGGGGCGCAACCCCGGCUAGCCGUUGAAAAUGGGUGGCUUGAGUUGGAGAGAAGUACGCGGAAUUCGCGGUGUAGCGGUGAAAUGCUUAGAUAUCGCGCAGAACCCCGAUUGCGAAGGCAGCGUACCGGCUCCACACUGACGCUGAGGCACGAAAGCGUGGGUAUCGAACAGGAUUAGAUACCCCUGUAGUC
rnacentral:rRNA from 1 species